GCACUGCUGGUUCAGGGAUAGAAUUCUUGCCUUCCGUGCAGGAGAUCCGGGUUCAAUUCCAGGCCAGUGUA
rnacentral:tRNA from 1 species